GACGAACGCUGGCGGCGGGCUUAACACAUGCAAGUCGAACGGAAAGGCCCUGCUUUUGUGGGGUGCUCGAGUGGCGAACGGGGGAGUAACACGUGAGUAACCUGCCCUUGACUUUGGGAUAACUUCAGGAAACUGGGGCUAAUACCGGAUAGGAGCUCCUGCUGCAUGGUGGGGGUUGGAAAGUUUCGGCGGUUGGGGAUGGACUCGCGGCUUAUCAGCUUGUUGGUGGGGUAGGGGAUUACCAAGGCUUUGACGGGUAGCCGGCCGGGGAGGGUGGCCGGCCACAUUGGUCCUGAGGUACGGCGCAGUGUCCUACGUUAGGCAGCAGUGGGGAGUCUUGCACAAUGGGCGCAAGCCUGAUGCAGCAACGCCGCGUUCGGGAUGCCGUCCUUCGGGUUGUAAACCGCUUUCGCCUGUUACGAAGCGUGUGUGACGGUAAUGGGUAAAGAAGCACCGGCUAACUACGUG
rnacentral:rRNA from 1 species